GAUCAUGGCUCAGGAUGAACGCUAGCUACAGGCUUAACACAUGCAAGUCGAGGGGCAGCGGGAUUGAAGCUUGCUUCAAUUUGCCGGCGACCGGCGCACGGGUGAGUAACGCGUAUCCAACCUUCCGUACACUCAGGGAUAGCCUUUCGAAAGAAAGAUUAAUACCUGAUGGUAUCUUAAGCACACAUGUAAUUAAGAUUAAAGAUUCAUCUGUGUACGAGUGGGGAUGCCGUU
rnacentral:rRNA from 1 species